CAAACCAGUGGGUUGCCUCCCA
rnacentral:siRNA from 1 species